UACGUAGGUGGCAAGCGUUGUCCGGAUUUACUGGGCGUAAAGAGCGCGCAGGCGGUCGGGUCAGUCGGAUGUGAAAGCCCCCGGCUCAACUGGGGAGGGUCAUUCGAUACUGCCCGACUCGAAGGCAGGAGAGGGAAGCGGAAUUCCCGGUGUAGUGGUGAAAUGCGUAGAUAUCGGGAGGAACACCAGUGGCGAAGGCGGCUUUCUGGCCUGUUCUUGACGCUGAGGCGCGAAAGCUAGGGGAGCGAACGGG
rnacentral:rRNA from 1 species